AUUUCAGGAAUUGGAGAUGCCCCUGUGGCUGAGGAGGAGCUGGGGCUGGGGCCGGGGCCAGGGCCGGGGCUCUGACCUGCCACUCUGCCCCACAUUAAGGGCAGAGACCGAAGAGGUGGCUGCCUGGACCUUGGAGCCCCAGGGUGGGCGGCCACCUUGGCCAGGACUCGGGCGCCCCCUUACAGAAGGCUGUGCUCACCCCUUCUUUUCUCGCCCCUGCUCUGUGCUGCAUUUGGAAAGAACCUAAAUGUCCUCCCUCUGAAGACUGGUUAAACAUCUGGUUAUGAUCCAGUGCUGCUCAUCUGACACCUGAGGGCCGCUGGAGACCCAGGGACACUCCUGCUGCGGCUCAUGUUUGGAAGCUGUCCGGAGGCGGGACUUCCUCUUCCUCCAGGGGCCGCCGUCCGGAGGCGGGACUUCCUCUUCCUCGGGGACAACUGUCUUUUUCUCUUAAGGCCUUGGACUGCCUGGAUGAGGCUAUAAUAUGGUCAGUACUCUGCUCUACCCAAAGUCUCCUGAUUGAAAUAUUAACCUCAUCCAAGAAACACCCUCACAGCGACGUCUACACUGGUGUUUGACCAAAUAGCUGGGGACCGUGGCCUGGUCGAGCUGACACAAAAGUAACCAUCACAGCUGCUGCUAUGGUCUGAAUGUUGAUGUCACCCCCAGAUUCAUUUGUUAGAACUUAAGCCCCAAGGCGAUGGCAUCACUGGUGGGCUUUGGGAGAUGAGGAGGAUAUGAAUGGGACCAGUAGCCUCAUAAGAGUUUUGAGGGUCCUGGUUGCCCUUCCCCACCCUCCCGUCCCUGCCACUGGGUGAGGACACAGCAAGAAGCCGCCGUCCUGGGAGCAGAGAGCAGAAAGCAGCCCUCACCAGACGCUGAAUCUGCUGGGGCCUCGGUCCUGGACGUCCCAGCCUCCAGAACUGAGCGAUGAAAUUCUGGUUACAAAUUGCCCCCUCUGAGGUAUUUUGUUUUAGCAGAAGGAACAGACGAGGAUGACCACCGAGGCCCUUCUCAGGCUGCCGCGGGUCUCCAGGAUGGGGACAGUCAGCUGGGGCCAACCGAGCUGCAUGUGGUCAAGGGCCCAUGCAUGUGACCAGGGCCCGCCUCCCACGUCACCCAGUGCACCCUCAGCAUGGGACACGGACCUAGACACUGCCGGGGUCUCCGUCCUUGCAGGCACUGCCAGGCGCCCCUCCCUGGGAGAAGCUGCAGCUCUGAGGCUACGGUCUUGCAGGUCAGCCACCACCUGGCUUUGUGGUCUGUUAUGCCCGGCCUAGUGUCCAGGGUGGUGACAUUUAUUUGAACAAAGACCAGUCUCCACCACCAAAGUCAUGGCUCUGCUGUUGCUUCCAGAACCAAAGAAAGGCUGGCUUCUGGGCUGGGCGUGGUGAUUCACGCCUGUAAUCCCAGCACUUUGGGAGGCCGAGACGGGCAGAUCACGAGGCCAGGAGUUCGAGACCAUCUUGGCUAACAUGGUGAAACCCUAUCUCUACUAAAAAUACAAAAAAAAUUAGCUGGGUGUGGUGGCACGUGCCUGUAAUCUCAGCAACUCAGGAGGCUGAGGCAGGAGAAUGGCUUCAACCUCGGAGGCGGAGGUUGCAGUGAGCCAAGAUCGCACCACUGCACCCCAGCGUGGGCAACAGAGCAAGACGCUGUCUCAAAAAAAAAAAAAAAAAAAAAAAAAAAAAGUCGGCUUCUCAAGCAGGUGGAAUCAGCGCUUGAUGAGACUCUGUAAUGACUGCAUAAUGAAGGCCCUCCCGGUCCUCCCCCAGCCGGUGCUCCUGUGAAACGGAGCCUGGGAAGCUCCCUUACUGGAGAAGUCUUUCGGCCGGAGAAUCGAUUCCUGCAGCCCCUUGUUUCAAUUCCGUGAGGCUUGAAGGGAGGGGCCGGCGGGCACCUGCAGACAAAUGCAUCCCAGGUGUAAGGAGGGUGCCCGUGGUCGCCCACGUGGCCAGCACAGGGCCGAGGGGGAUGAGGGCAGGGGCUGCCGCCUGCACUCAGCUCCAGGCCUGCCUCAGGGGAGCUGCAAAGCUACUCAUUCUCAUCAGCUUCAAGCUGACAUCCUUUUUGUCUUCAGUCCAGUAUUAGCUUAAAGGGAAAAGCGUUCUUGUUUGAAAUGUUAACUGGGUGCAUUCUGCUCGUUUUAAUUGUUUCAUUUGCCUAUUACGGCAGCCACAGCAGACGUGUUCCGAUUAGCAAAGAGGAAAAUCUAUCCACUGGA
rnacentral:lncRNA from 1 species